rnacentral:rRNA from 1 species
ACUCCUACGGGAGGCAGCAGUGGGGAAUAUUGCACAAUGGGCGCAAGCCUGAUGCAGCCAUGCCGCGUGUGUGAAGAAGGCCUUCGGGUUGUGAAAGCAACUUUCAGUCGUGAGGAAGGAUAGUGUAGUUAAUAGCUGCAUUAUUUGACGUUAGCGACAGAAGAAGCACCGGCUAACUCCGUGCCAGCAGCCGCGGUAAUACGGAGGGUGCGAGCGUUAAUCGGAAUUACUGGGCGUAAAGCGCAUGCAGGUGGCUUUGUUAAGUCAGAUGUGAAAGCCCGGGGCUCAACCUC